AUCGUGGUAACCAAUUGGACAAGGUGAAGAUCUGCAAAAUCUUUUUGAGUGGGUUCGAUUCCCACCCGCGAUUCCA
rnacentral:tRNA from 1 species